rnacentral:rRNA from 1 species
GUCUAAGUUUAAGCAACUAAACGGCGAAACUGCGAAUGGCUCAUUAAAUCAGUUAUCGUAUAUUUGAUAGUACCUGCUACAUGGAUAACCGUGGUAAUUCUAGAGCUAAUACAUGCUGAAAAUCCCGACUUCGGAAGGGAUGUAUUUAUUAGAUUAAAAACCAACGCCCCUCGGGGCUCACUGGUGAUUCAUAAUAACUCCUCGAAUCGCACGGCCUUGCGCCGGCGAUGGUUCAUUCAAAUUUCUGCCCUAUCAACUUUCGACGGCUGGGUCUUGGCCAGCCGUGGUGACAACGGGUAACGGAGGGUUAGGGCUUGACCCCGGAGAAGGAGCCUGAGAAACGGCUACUACUUCCAAGGAAGGCAGCAGGCGCGCAAAUUACCCAAUCCCGACUCGGGGAGGUAGUGACAAUAAAUACUGAUACAGGGCUCUUUUGGGUCUUGUAAUUGGAAUGAGUACAAUUUAAAUCCCUUAACGAGGAACAAUUGGAGGGCAAGUCUGGUGCCAGCAGCCGCGGUAAUUCCAGCUCCAAUAGCGUAUAUUAAAGUUGUUGCAGUUAAAAAGCUCGUAGUUGAAACUCGGGCCUGGCUGGCCGGUCUGCCUCACCGCAUGCACUGGUCCGGCCGGGCCUUUCCCUCUGGGGAGCCGCAUGCCCUUCACUGGGUGUGCCGGGGAACCAGGACCUUUACUGUGAAAAAAUUAGAGUGUUCAAAGCAGGCCUAUGCUCGUAUACAUUAGCAUGGAAUAAUAGAAUAGGACGUCGCGGUUCUAUUUUGUUGGUUUCUAGGACCGCCGUAAUGAUUAAUAGGGACAGUCGGGGGCAUCAGUAUUCAAUCGUCAGAGGUGAAAUUCUUGGAUCGAUUGAAGACUAACUACUGCGAAAGCAUUUGCCAAGGAUGUUUUCAUUAAUCAGGAACGAAAGUUAGGGGAUCGAAAACGAUCAGAUACCGUUGUAGUCUUAACCAUAAACUAUGCCGACUAGGGAUCGGGCGAUG